rnacentral:rRNA from 1 species
AGAGUUUGAUUCUGGCUCAGGAUGAACGCUGGCGGCGUGCUUAACACAUGCAAGUCGAACGAAGCAACUAUCUUGCUUGCAAGAGAGUUGACUUAGUGGCGGACGGGUGAGUAACGCGUGGGUAACCUGCCUCAUACAGGGGGAUAACAGUUGGAAACGACUGCUAAGACCGCAUAACCCGCUAGUGUCGCAUGACACGGACGGAAAAUAUUUAUAGGUAUGAGAUGGGCCCGCGUCUGAUUAGCUAGUUGGUAAGGUAACGGCUUACCAAGGCGACGAUCAGUAGCCGACUUGAGAGAGUGAUCGGCCACAUUGGGACUGAGACACGGCCCAAACUCCUACGGGAGGCAGCAGUGGGGAAUAUUGGACAAUGGGGGAAACCCUGAUCCAGCGAACCGCCGCGUGAGUGAAGAAGUAUUUCGGUAUGUAAAGCUCUAUCAGCAGGGAAGAUAAUGACAGUACCUGACUAAGAAGCCCCGGCUAACUACGUGCCAGCCGCAGC